rnacentral:rRNA from 1 species
GGACCCGUCUUGAAACACGGACCAAGGAGAAUGGAUUGUGUGCUAGCCAUUGAGACUAUAAAUAAAACUGAAAGGCUCAACGAAAGUGAAGGCGUGCGCUUGUCGCGCGCUCAGGGAGGAUGGAGCGUCGGUCUCGAUCGAUCUCUCGCACUCCCGAGGCGUCUCGUUUCCAAUCAGUGGAUGCAGGCGCGCUCUGAGCACAGAUGCUGGGACCCGAAAGAUGGUGAACUAUGCA